ensembl:lncRNA
GUCGUAACCUUGCACAAAGAGGAAAAGGAAGAAUUUGGGCAUGUAGGCGGGGCAAGGGGUGGUUUUUCCAUCCAACUUCUACCCUAUAAAGUUAACUAGAGGAUUCCUUGCUGCCUUCCUUCCUGUGUUCCUCCUCUUCGGAUUUUUUGUUUCCUUCUGUUGACUACCACACCCUGUCCUUGUUUAUCACUCUGCCCCCUCUCUCUUUCCCGCCGUUCUUCCAUUCCCACUUCUUCCUGUGCCCCUCAGCCCACGGCACCACCAUGCCUGCUAGAGGAUCAGUUAAAUAGCACCCCUCCCUGGACAGCCAGGUUAAUUGAUGCAGUCCCCUUUGGGCCACAACCAUUGGGAGGAGCAGGACUGUUGGUAGAGACUUGGGAAAGGAAAUCCCCUUCCAGUUUGGUUCCAAACAAAGAAAGUUGGUCCUCCCAGGACCUUCAGUCAACCUGCCCAAGCCAGAGUGGAGAUGAGAGGUGGGGAGAGGUGUGGAAGAGGGGAGAGAACAGAAUAAGAAAGAGCCGUGAAAGGGGUGCUGAGGGACCUGUGAAAGCAUCUAUCUCUGGAAGGCCUGAAGAGGCUGCUUUGGGCAAAGUCGAGGUCUCCACCUGGCCAACUGCCUCUUCCCUUCGUUCCCAAAGGUGAGAGGAUCCCAAUGAGGCUGAGGGUCCGUAGGGAGCAAGGAUUAACCCUUUUCUCAGCCAGGUCUUGGCUGAUGGAGGGAGAGGUGCCGGCGGGCUUCGGACGUCCCCAGCGCUACCCUCCACCGCCACCCUCCACCGCCACUGCAAGGAAGGGGGGUGCGGAGGAAGGAGGCAGGCGGUGGCCAGGGGCAGCCGAAAGGGGACGGAAUACAGGGCGGGCGGAGUUCAACUUCAGAUGCUGGGCAGACCAGGGGACGCGAAAUAACCACCGCCAAUGCACGAGGAAAGGCAGGGGCCAGCGCGGGCGCGGGCGCGCGGCUCCUUGGCGCUGCGGAGUAGUUGGAGAGGGGCGGGAGAGCCCCGGCGGGCUGAGUUUUCCUGGAGUUGCGAGCAAGCACCAAAUCUCUCUCGGAUCGGUCCGCGGCGCGACCGCCCUCUCUGCCUCCUCUCUCAGCAGCUGUGCGGAUGUGAGGAGCAGGCGGAGAACGCGCCAGAGCCGGGAGCGGAAGCGAGCAUGGUCCCACACGUGAGAACAGAGAUGCCCAACAGCUGGAAAUCGCAGCCCCAGCCGCAGCCGAACAUCUGGAGCGCUAAUCGCAGGAGCCGCGGGCGGCCCUGGAGGUGGGGUCGUGAAAUGGGACGGGAAGGGGUUAGUGAUGGAACAGCUCAGCUAGCGGGGCACUCGAUGGCCCAUUCUCGCGCCCCCAAAUUUGGACCUGGCCGGGAAUUCGCCUCAGCGCAAUAGCGAGGGCUGUCCCCUCCCCGCCAGUGCCCCCGCGCGUACCCCCACCAGCGGAGCCCCAGGUCUGCUAAGAAGGGUUAAUGGCCCUGCGCCCCAUUCCCAGCUCCAUUGCGGACCAGGAGCGUGCAGGUGAGGGAAUAUUGUUAAAAGACGACCUGGGGGCGAAGGCGAUAGAAAGAGGGACCGGAGGGGGGCGGGCGGGGCGGAGCGGGGCGGGGGCGCCGG